UAGUGAUUACCGAUGCCAGAAUUGGAAGAUUGAAGACGCAAGUCUCGGGGAAGAUGGUCUGAUCGCCGAUAUUUUUGUUUUGAUGUAAGCUGUGAUGGAGGAGAUGAUUGAGUCUGGAGGCCGAUAGAUGUUUCUAUGCAACCGAGCGUUCCUUUCUGACCAGAUUAGAUAGAUGGUGCACUGCCACGCGAAGAGUGCUAAGAGCUUUGCAUGCCUCGGUCCCGACUGAUGCUGGAGGGCAGAGAGAGUGCGGUCCCACGAAGAGGAUGCAGAAAUACCUGAUCUAGUCCCAAUACUAUUCCAGAUCUGCCAAGAGUAAUAACAUUAAAAAAAGAGGUGGUUUCGGUUUUCGUCAGCAGAGCGGCAUAGAAGGCAGGAAGAGGGUGUAUUAAGCCCCCAUGAUAGCAGGCGGUCUCUAGUGGGACAAUGGUUUAAGACAAACAGCCACGCAAGGAAACUGUGUUUAGGAGUACCCCUUGGACACUAGACCGUGUUGCUCCAACUCACCACCGGAUUAUGAUAUUUUAGCUCUCUGUAGACCGUUCCUGUCGAAUAGGAAGUAGCCAAUUUCCAUUCUCAUUCAGGUCUGACAGAGUAGCACUUCUUGAUAUUCCCAGACGGGAGGAGGAAGGAAGGUUCAAGAAAUCAGAGAUACAACCAAAUGGACUCCAAUUAUCGCUCCAAAACCGACAGGCUACAGAGGGCAACACAGAAGGAAUUAAGGAAGUAAACGGCAGGGAGUGCAAACCAUGGUGCCGAAACAUACCUGCGAAGAUAGUUCAUGGACCUCGGCCGUCUUCUGGCGCUGCGGAACUUGAUGUGCAAGUGUUUGCUCAGAAGAUGGUUCAAAGUCAGCUCUCUUUGAUAGAACCUAAUCAUUUCUAUAGGUAGAUCACAUACAAAAUCGUAAAUGUUAUUCUUUUCCCUUAAAUCAAUAAAUUUUAAAACUAUAUUUAUAUAAUUUUAUAUACAUAUAUUAUAUUUAAAGUUUUGUAUGAUGAGAGUUAGCGAUUCAUAUUAUUUGAGAGGAGUGAAAAAAUGUAAUACAAUAAAAUGUUACGGUCCACGAAACUUCGUUUACUCUAAUUGGAUCAAACUUUGGUUGUAGUUGCUCA